AUUGAACGCUGGCGGCAGGCCUAACACAUGCAAGUCGAACGAGUGGCAGACGGGUGAGUAAUGUAUGGGAAACUGCCUGAUGGAGGGGGAUAACUACUGGAAACGGUAGUUAAUACCGCAUACCAUCGGAUGUGCCCAGAUGGGAUUAGCUAGUAGGUGGGGUAAAGGCUCACCUAGGCGACGAUCCCUAGCUGGUCUGGGAGGAUGACCAGCCAAACUGGAACUGAGACACGGUCCAGACGCCUACGGGAGGAAGCAGUGGGGAAUAUUGCACAAUGGGGGCAAGCCGGAUGCAGCCAUGCCGCGUGUAUGAAGAAGGCCUUCGGGUGGUAAAGUACUUUCAGCGGGAAGGCGUUACCCGCAGAAGAAGCACCGGCUAACUCCGUGCCAGCAGCCGCGGUAAUUC
rnacentral:rRNA from 1 species